CAAGNUCGCACGAGAAAGCAGGAGCAAUCUUGUGAGUACAGUGGCGUACGGGUGAGUAACACGUGGAUGAUCUACCCUUUAGUGGGGAAUAACGCUGGGAAACCGGCGCUAAUACCGCAUAAUCUCGAGAGAGGAAAGCAGCAAUGCGCUGAAGGAGGAGUCCGCGGCCGAUUAGCUAGUUGGUAGGGUAAAAGCCUACCAAGGCAUAGAUCGGUAGCCGGCCUGAGAGGGCACACGGCCACACUGGCACUGAAACACGGGCCAGACUCCUACGGGAGGCAGCAGUGGGGAAUCUUGCACAAUGGGGGAAACCCUGAUGCAGCGACGCCGCGUGAGCGAUGAAGCCCUUCGGGGUGUAAAGCUCUUUCGUCAGGGACGAUAAUGACGGUACCUGGAGAAGCAGCUGCGGCUAACUACGUGCCAGCAGCCGCGGUAAUACGUAGGCAGCGAGCGUUGUUCGGAGUUACUGGGCGUAAAGGGUGUGUAGGCGGUUCCCUAAGUUUGGUGUGAAAUCUCCCGGCUCAACCGGGAGGGUGCGCCGAAAACUGGGGGACUAGAGUGCGGGAUGGGAGAGUAGAAUUCCUGGUGUAGCGGUGAAAUGCGUAGAUAUCAGGAGGAAUACCGGUGGUGUAGACGGCUCUCUGGACCGCCACUGACGCUGAGACACGAAAGCGUGGGUAGCAAACAGGAUUAGAUACCCUGGUAGUCCACGCCCUAAACGAUGCAUAUUUGGUGUAGGUCAUUCAGUUGAUCUGUGCCGGAGCUAACGCGUUAAAUAUGCCGCCUGGGGAGUACAGUCGCAAGGCUGAAACUCAA
rnacentral:rRNA from 1 species